GACGAACGCUGGCGGCGUGCUUAACACAUGCAAGUCGAACGGAAAGGCCCUGCUUUUGUGGGUUGCUCGAGUGGCGAACGGGUGAGUAACACGUGAGUAACCUGCCCUUGACUUUGGGAUAACUUCAGGAAACUGGGGCUAAUACCGGAUAGGAUCUCCUGCUGCACGGUGGGGGUUGGAAAGUUUCGGCGGUUGGGGCUGGACUCGCGGCUUAUCCGCUUGUUGGUGGGGUAGUGGCUUACCAAGGCUUUGACGGGUAGCCGGCCUGAGAGGGUGACCGGCCUCAUGGGGACUGAGAUACGGCCCAGAAUCCUACGGGAGGCAGCAGUGGGGAGUAUUGCACAAUGGGCGGAAGCCUGAUGCAGCGACCCCGCGUGCGGGAUGACGGGCUUCGGGUUGUAAACCGCUUUCGCAGGUGACGAAGCGUGAGUGACGGUAAUGGGUAAAGAAGCACCGGCUAACUACGUG
rnacentral:rRNA from 1 species